GACGAACGCUGGCGGCGUGCCUAAUACAUGCAAGUAGAACGCUGAAGGAGGAGCUUGCUUCUCCGGAUGAGUUGCGAACGGGUGAGUAACGCGUAGGUAACCUGCCUGGUAGCGGGGGAUAACUAUUGGAAACGAUAGCUAAUACCGCAUAAGAGUAGAUGUCGCAUGACAUUUGCUUAAAAGGUGCAACUGCACCACUACCAGAUGGACCUGCGUUGUAUUAGCUAGUUGGUGAGGUAACGGCUCACCAAGGCAACGAUACAUAGCCGACCUGAGAGGGGGAUCGGCCACACUGGGACUGAGACACGGCCCAGACUCCUACGGGAGGCAGCAGUAGGGAAUCUUCGGCAAUGGGCGGAAGUCUGACCGAGCAACGCCGCGUGAGUGAAGAAGGUUUUCGGAUCGUAAAGCUCUGUUGUAAGAGAAGAACGAGUGUGAGAGUGGAAAGUUCACACUGUGACGGUAUCUUACCAGAAAGGGACGGCUAACUACGUG
rnacentral:rRNA from 1 species